GGGGAUGACAUGUCGGGAAGCUGCUGCUGAGCCGAAGCUAUGGAUGGAUUUAGACUUUGAGGAGCAGGACUGGUGGGAAUCUCACCGAGGGAAUCAGACACAAGGCGACAAACAGGAUUCACUGGCUGACUUGUAGACUCAUUUUUUGAACUAGAGGAGAAGUUAGGAGACACCGGCCCGUGAGGAGUUUCUGUAGCAUCAGUUCCAGCCACACAUGGAGGAGGUGACGCUUGUCGUUUGGAUAAAUGAAAUGCCUUUGAAUAAUCAGCUUGAGACCACAAACAUGGAGCCGAAGCAGCUGUGUCAAUGAGCGGCUCUGCGAAAAGGCUGAGGAAGGAUAUGGAUGGAGGUUUGUCAGAUUCAACAGCAGUUUUAAGAUCUUUACUUGUGAAAUCUGCACAGCGUGGAGUCUGAAUAAAGCCUCGAGGAUGAGCUGGUGUCACGCUGUCAGAUAUCGGGUUCGCAAAAAGGCCAAAAAAAGGUAUUUUCUGAUUCUUCUUACAUCCAACUGUCAUUUCCUUACUUCGCUCUGGGGAGGUUUUAGCAGAAUAAAGCUGCAGUGUACCAAGUUUAAAUCCACAUUCAGGGCGUUGUUUUGCAGCAAAAUGAUGACUGGAAGAGUCUGAAGAAUCACUUUUCGUAUCAAGACAAGAAACAGAUUCAACCUUAGCUCUAUCUUUAAACUCUGAGAAACCUGCAGAGGGAGAAAAAGGCUUAAUUGAAGAUUGUAAAUCAGAAGUCGGACCAGAGAGAUGUGGCUUCAGCUGUGCAGGAGGACAUACCUUUCUACUUGAGUGACAGGAGAAACCAACAACUCCAGUUUGACUUCACUAGAAGUUCUUUGAGCAGUUUUUAUGGACUCUGCAACAUCUCCACGUUGAUUUCUCUGAUCCUCAGAGGUGAGCAAAAGGUCACGGCAGGUUUUUGAGAUCUGGCCGGUAUGCAUUUGGAAAGACGGCAGACUUUUGAACAUUUUUUGCAGGGAUUUGUUUGUUUCAUCUCUGGUAUUUAGCAAAAUCUUCUCGUGUUGUGAGUUCAACAGAGGAUCAGUGCUUUUUUCACAGUCAGUUUUUGGUGUACAGGAUACAGUUUUUACAGUUGUAGUGGCAGAUGCUUGGCCAAAAGGUGACUUUUCCACAGAUUUAAAUGACCUGAGGACAGCAUCCACAGAGUACGGAGCUUCGCUUUGUCUUGACAUGCCAAUACUGGAAGACGUCUGUGGGACAGAGGGAGGUGUAGAUUCUUGACUUCCAGGAGCUGUAAAGAAACGGGGGAAUGGUCUGUACAGCUGAGGUCCAAGGACAGCUUCCACUGAAUAACAGACUGGCUCUUUAUUGCUGGUUGAUGGAGGGCUCUGAGGCGGGGUGGCGUUCGAAGCAUGUGGAAGGAAAACUUCGACUGUGACAUCAGCCUGUUCUUCUGUGGGACACAGCAAGGUUUCCUUUGCAGCAUCUGUGCUGCUGUAAAAG
ensembl:lncRNA